rnacentral:rRNA from 1 species
AGAACGAACGCUGGCGGCAGGCUUAACACAUGCAAGUCGAACGCUCGUGAGCGAUCACGGGAGUGGCAGACGGGUGAGUAACGCGUGGGAACAUACCCUUUGGUUCGGGAUAACUCAGGGAAACUUGAGCUAAUACCGGAUACGCCCCUGGAUGAAAGUUUGGGGGGAAAGAUUGAUUGCCGGAGGAUUGGCCCGCGUUCGAUUAGCUAGUUGGUGAGGUAACGGCUCACCAAGGCGACGAUCGAUAGCUGGUCUGAGAGGAUGAUCAGCCACAUUGGGACUGAGACACGGCCCAAACUCCUACGGGAGGCAGCAGUGGGGAAUAUUGGACAAUGGGCGCAAGCCUGAUCCAGCCAUGCCGCGUGAGUGAUGACGGCCUUAGGGUUGUAAAGCUCUUUCGCUCGGGACGAUAAUGACGGUACCGAGAUAAGAGCCCCGGCUAACUUCGUGCCAGCAGCCGC